AGAGUGCUUAAGGGUCUAUGCAAGUAGAUGAAUAAUAAAGAAUGGUAUACUUUGAUAUCUAUAUAGAUAAACGAAUCAUAUUAGAUGUAGCAUUUUGAUGAGUUGUUAUAAGAGAUAAAUUGUUUUGAGAUCUAUGCAUUGGAUAAAUGAUAGAGGAUGGAGUACUUUAAGAUCUGUACAGACAAAUAGAUAAUGAAGGAUAGACUACUUUGAGAUUUGUGCAAGUG
rnacentral:lncRNA from 1 species